GGUGUUCAACGCAAGGUAGUAAUGGAUUUUUUAGUAAUUUUGGUUGUAAGAGCUUAAUCAGGUGGUCACAUGUUUUGUUAAAACUUAAGUGUGGUAAAAUUUCUUGGAUGACAUCGGCUAUUUGCUUUACAAGUCCCACAAAUAGUUCACUUGGGUGUAUUAAGCCACCAUGGUCUUGAAGGGUUAUUAAUUUUAGCAGAGGUCCAGCUUAAGAAUUACAUAUCCAGCUAAGAAAGCUAUGGAUGCAGAGUAGAGGUUACUUUCAGGCAGAAGUAGUUCUUCAAGUUGGUCCUCUGCUGUUUGAUUUCUCUGAUGAGACAGUUGAUUCAAAGAUACAUGACUAACAGUACUUGCGGUGUUAGCAAAUAAAGAUGAUUUUAAAAUGCCACUUCGUAGAAUUUGCCGUAAAGCAUAUUCUGCAGCACGAGCAUCAGUGGUGUCAUUUGAGCCUCCUUUUAGGCGAAUAUGGGAAAAUGUUGCUUCAACUGCGUCCGAGCUAAAUGAUCUAGUUAAUACAUAAUAAAAUCCAGAUUGUUUAAGAAGAAACUGAAUGCACAAAAAUGUGCUUUUUGCUGUGAAACACAAAGCAUGUGCCGUUUCGUCGCUUAAGCCUGAAUAACCAGUCCUGCUUGAAGUAGACUAAAUAUCCUUGACUUAAUGUUGGAAAGUCACAUUCAACCAGUGAAGGCGUUCGUCCGAAACGUUCACAUAUGGUGCAACAGUGCUAUCGAGGGCAUGAAUGUAGUGCCUGCGAGUUGAAACAUUGUGCACUUGAAAGAAAUGAUACAUGUUUUCCAUGUAUAAGAUAGUCCCAUCAGCAUCAAUAAAAUUAUCAUAUCCAUCUUCUUUUAAUAAUUUAAGCGCUGAAGUAACUGGCGGUGAAAA